rnacentral:tRNA from 1 species
GCCUUCAUGGUGUAGUGGUCAGCACGCUCGACGCGUAACCGAGAGGUCCGUGGUUCGAUUCCCGGUGAAGGCU